CUGGACUCCUUGGCAGGCUGGGGGAUGGACUCCACAGCAUGCAGAGAGCUAGAUUCUCCAGCUGGGAUAAAAUUGAAUUCCUCAGCAUGC